UAGAAACGACGGUCGCUGAGCAAC
rnacentral:siRNA from 1 species